GGAUGACCCAGGAACUACAGGCCAGUUAGCUUGACAUCAAGCCAAGGGGAGCCGCAGAAGCUGCCUGAGCCAUGGUGGAGUAGGCUUUAACCUGUCUGAUGGAUCUAGUCUAGCUAACUCAUAGCAUGAUUUAAGGUCACAACCUUCAAAAGGGAGAUCCUCAAUUGUUGUCUGGACCUCCUUCUGUAUCUCUGAAGACUGCAGAUGUUGCCAUGGAUCACGCUGUAGGGUCCAGCACAUCUAAUGCUGCCAGCAAUGACGUACAGGCCACUAA